AGCUGGCUGGUUCCAUGCAGUGACUUCUGCCCAGUGCUCUGAUUGUCAAGGCGAAGAGAUUCAGCCAAGCGCGGGUAAACGGCGGGAGUAACUAUGACUCUCUUUAAGGUAGCCAAAUGCCUCGUCAACCAAUUAUUGACGCGCAUGAAUGGAUCAACGAGAUUCCUGCUGUCCCUAGUUGCUGUCCGGUGAACCAACAGCCAAGGGAACGGGCUUGGGCGUGUCAGCGGGGAAAGAAGACCCUGUUGAGUUUGACUCUAGUUUGAUGCUGUGCAACGACAUGUGGGGUGUAGCAUAGGUGGGAGGCCAGUGCCAUCCUUUGCGAUGCGCACCCCACCGGAGAUGCGUCCUGAAGCGAAUGCCUGUGCGAAGGAAGAAGGCCCCAGAGCCUCGAGACAUGGUGCGAACCAGCAAUGAAAUACCACUACCUUCACCGUCGUUUUACUCAUCGAGUGGCUUGGGGCCAGCGGCCCAUUUGGACAUCAGCUCUUGCAAUCCUGUGUGAGUUGCGGCUAUACCUGCUUCGUGAAUCAAGCGCGGUCAGCUUGCUGGCCACGCGACUCUGUGGGGCAAUCCUGCACCCCACCCUCAUCGGUGCCUCGGGACAAUGAUCAGUUGGGGAGUUUGGCUGGGGCGGCACGCCUGUUACAGGACAACGCAGGCGUCCUGAAGCAUUGCUCAGAUGGAACAGAAAUCCUCCGUGGAGGAGAAGGCCAAAGGUGCUGCUGAUGCUGCGACUUUCAGUACAAGUCCAAAACGUGCAAGUGUGGCCUUGCGAUCCUUUGGUCAAGUGUGCGAGUUCAGGAUAUUGAAGCCAGAGGUGUCAGAAAAAUUACCACAGGGAUAACUGGCUUGUGGCUGCCAAGCGUUCAAAGCGACGUCGCUUUUUGAUCCUUCGAUGUCGGCUCUUCCUAGCUUCCCACCCGCAGCCGAGUGGAAGAGUGGAUUGUUCACCCACCAACAGGGAACGUGAGCUGG
rnacentral:rRNA from 1 species